ACUGGACGGUAAAAAAAAUUAAUAAAUAAAAAUCUGCGUCCAGGGGACGCGCGGACUUCCGGAAACUCGCGUCCUUUCUGAUUUCAAUGUGUAAAAAGUGCGUUAAAGCCAACACUGUAGGCCUUUGAGUUGUAUCCACAGUUGUUAUGUCAAUGCCUUCAAGUUGUUUGUCUAUAUACCAAACACCACAUCUUCACUUAAUACAUUCUUAAAUAAAUGCACAAUUUAAAAUAUGUAUAUAUUAAGGUUGCAGGACGUGCUUUCUUUUUAUUACAUACAUGAAUGUCAAUGACCGUGUCACGGCGCGGGCUCGAACCCGCUUUUCAUCGGCAGCAAGUUCUGCCAGCACCUGUGUUGGCACACACCAGGACACGCCCCUGCUCGCGCUGGCCGCAUCACGCCCUACGCGCCGGAAAGUCUGCAGAUAAUCGCUGAUCAGCGCACCUGGUACUAAUGAGGGAUGACAGCAUAAAGACCAACGGACCCGGUGAUCCUUUGCCGGAACGUAGUUCACUCUCAGUACUGUGUGCCUUGACUCCUCUCUGGAUUUUGGACCGCCUCCCUCGAUCCUCGAACCCUGCUUGGACACGGACCUCGUUGCUUCUCUCCAGCCCCCGACCGCUUGCUUGCCCACGGACUACCUCCUUGGCUUGCCUUGCCCCACUGGACUGACAAAGGAUUCAUCCAACACACACUUACAACAAACCCUGAUGAGCUGCUUCCUCGCUUCCUUGCUCGUGGGAGUUUAUCGCAGAUCAUAAAUCGUGCAUCUCACCUGGAUAGUAGAAGGAUGAGGACGUAAUCCAACAAGUUGGUACAAUUUGACAGCCAAUUUAGACCCAGAAAUGACGAGAACAACACGAAAAGACGCUUGGUUCCACUGCCCUUUUAUCCAUGAGGAUUAUGAGUCGUUCUUCAUCCAAACGGGAAUUUAACAAGCUUCUAUCAAUCGGCAUCCUAGUGAGAGCAGACAUUGUACAGUAAGUGAUGUUUUAUUGUGUUUGUUGGCUGUCAUGAAGUCUGCAUUGAGGAAUAAUCAGUGAUGUUGGGGAAAAAAGUGAACACUCUGGUGCGUUUUUGAAAUUAAUGCUUAAAAUAAUCAAAAUACGUAAAUAUGAAAUGUUAUUAUAAAUCACAUAUAUACUUACAUCAUGUAUAUACAACCUUAAUGGAGGUGCUUGGAUGUUUUUUUUAAGGGCUUUAUAGGCAGACUCACAUUGGCUCCAUUGUAAGCCGACUUUUGAUCGCAUUUGUUUACUAUUUAGAAUGCAU